rnacentral:rRNA from 1 species
CCUACGGGAGGCAGCAGUGAGGAAUAUUGGUCAAUGGGCGAGAGCCUGAACCAGCCAAGUCGCGUGAGGGAGUACUGCCCUAUGGGUUGUAAACCUCUUUUGUCGGGGAGCAAAAGCCGGACGUGUCCGGCUGUGAUAGUACCCGAAGAAAAAGCAUCGGCUAACUCCGUGCCAGCAGCCGCGGUAAUACGGAGGAUGCGGGCGUUUUCCGGAUUUAUUGGGGUUAAAGGGUGCGCAGGUGGAUUUUUAAGUCAGCGGUGAAAGCGUGGGGGCCAACCCCAUCAACGCAGUUGAAACUGGGAGUCUAGAGUAUAGGAGAGGGAGGGGGAAGGCGGGGGGUAGCGGUGAAAGGCUUAGAUAUCACGAAGAACCCCGAGUGCGAAGGCAGCACACGGGACGGCAACUGACACUGAGGCCCGAAAGCGUGGGUAUCAAACAGGAUUAGAGACCCUUGUAGUC